CUCUGUACAACCUGCUUUGGAAGAAAAAGCACAGGAUUCCUGUGAGGCUGCAGGAAUUCAAGGCUGAGAGAAGAGGAAUCAGAGAGGAAGCCUCACAGUUAUGGAUCGGUCUGGUUCUCACUGGAUCUCAAAGGAAAAAGGUUUGCUGUUUCUGCUGAGAGUUGAGCCAUGUCCUUCUACUAGAUUUUUUUCCAAGUGCAAGCACUGGGCUCCAUGGUUUUCCUGAUGUCUUGUGUGAUGAGAAAUUGCUUGCAAAACAUUUGCCCUUGUAUGUCUACAGCCCAAGCUGGAAAGUUACACUGCAGUAUAUGGAAUGUGUGGGCUGGGGGCUGCCAACAGCUCUCUCUGCUUCCAUUGACCAAGGAGAUGUAUCUGGGAAAAAAAGAACAAAAAAAAGAAAAAGAAAAAGAAAAAGAAAAAAAAAAAAGGUGACAAAUGAAUCAAACUGAGGGAGGGCUUUACCUGGGAAAUAUAGCCCCAGGUUUUCCACAACUGAAGUAAUUUUCCAUGGUAAUUGGAGAAAGAACAUCAGCCAGCUACAGAAGUGUGAGAACCAUCUUCAUUUUUCAUUCCUGGCCAACUAUUUCUCUUGUUGUUUUUAUGGUCUCUGUGAGAGUAAUGUAGCCUGUGAGACCUCGGUUGCGUAGGUUUGCCAGAUACAGUUGAAGCCUACUCCAGGUAGGCACAUAUUGCAUGUACCAGAAGUGAGGAAAAACAUACUUGUUAAUAGCGCUGGUACAAAGGGGAGAAAUUAAUUUUGAACGUAUGAAGAUGCAGCAGAGGUGGGGGAGGAACAAACAACUGAAAUAGCGAUGCUUUUUGCAAGGAAGUGGAAAUCAUGUCAAAACUCUUGAGACCUGGGAAACAAAAUGUUAAACGUCUUACAGCAUUGAAGGCAAGACAAAAGGAAAUACAUUCAGCCCAAUCCUUAGCUCUGCUGCAUUACAGAAGGUGCAGGUUACUGUAAGUGCCUUCUCUGUUAAUUACUGUGACAGGUCUAUUUGUAAUGGGGUCCUCUUUUGUUGCUCCAGCAGCUGGGCAUUAGUCAGGUCAUGUGUGGCUGUGAGUGACAGCUGAUGCCUGCAUGAGGAGCAGCUGAACCACAGAAGGGCGAUGUUGGGUGCUUCGGUUGGCAUGUAGAUCAUGUCUGUCUUACUUGUUACGGCAAAUGUGACGUGUCCUCCUCAUCCUGCGCCCUGCUGCAUCAUGCUGCCUAUGCUCACUCAUUUUCAUGCAGAGUGAAAGUCACAGGCAAAAAGCUCAGCAAGCUGACACCUAACUCAAGUUUAGAUCUGAUGUGACAGAAACUUCCUGUUGUUGGUAUUGUUUCCAACUGUGAGUUCCAUUCUGCACCAUAAAUCGGGCUAAUGCCCAAUGAAAAUAAAGAUAACCCCUAUUCCAUGUUGUUCCCACUCUGAGAGAUACUGAUAGGUAUGGGAAUGCAAUAAGAGCUCAGAGUAGGAUGCAGGAGAUUCAAAGAAAAUAGAAAUACAGGACUCUUACUCAUAUGGAUCUGUAAAUAUUCACACUUAACAACUUCGUAUGUUGAAAUACGCAACCAAAUGUAAUAGGAAUGAUCAUUACAUACUCAAGUAUAGAUUUCUUAACCUGUCACUUAAAUAGGUGUAGAAUAGGUAUGAGCAGAAUUUUUCACAGUGAUCAGCUAUAGUGCUUCUCACUGAAAUUGGUGGGAGACUUUUGGUUUUGGUAUUUUGUGUUUGGUUUUGGUUUGUUUGUUUGUUCGUUUCAAUUGACUGCACUGGGAGCAGUUAGGCCAUUCUGAAUGGGUUUGAAUAAUCUGCCCUGUAAGUUCGGCAUGAGAGCAGACCUGGCCUGGCUGAAAGCAUUAUUUUCAGGUAAAUUCUGUAGCAAAUUCCGCUUACUCUCCAAAACAUAUACUGGAAGAAUAUAUACAGCCAGCUCUGAAGCUGAUCAAAUGCUCAGAAAAAUCCUCUAUCAAAUAAAUCUUGCAACAAAAAGCAGCAAAACUCCUGAAACAGUCAACUUGACAAAUAGUCUUCCAUCAGCCCUGCUGUGACUCAGUGUUUGAAGGAUCAGAGGGAAAAAAGUCCAUUUUAGAAGAGAGUAUAAAAUGAAAAAUAUGAUCUGAAUGAAGCACAUUUCCAGUGCGGUUGCUAAUGCUGCCCAUAGCCAGCAGCCCAGACUGGAUAAAGACACCUCCCAGCCUUUGUUAUUCCUGAAGGAUUUUGUGGCUCUUCCUGUUGAUCUGCGGCAGGUGGCUUGGUGACUCACGCCAGGGCCUCCCAGCCAAGAGCAGGAUCUCAGGGAAACAAGGUUUUUAAACACAGAUCACUACCAAAGGACCAAAGGGCAGGAGCCCCAAAGGAUGAUGCAAAGGGUGAUGUCCAUAGAAUGCUCAUUCAAUGGAAGGAUGCCAUACAGGGGUUGGCUGUGGAUCCACCAGUCAGGUGUUGCUCCUCUUGCCCCUGGUGCGUUGGUAUUCUGCUGGGGCAGUGCUAAUGUCUAGAUAGUACUUCCUGAAGCACAGCCUCCUUUUCAGUGCUUCCUCGUUUCAAGUAGAAUCUAAUUCAAGCAGUCCUGGUUACACAUCAGGCCUAAGUAUGUCAUUAUAUGUGCGGUUUCCAGCAAUUGUAAGCUAUGUUCUGUAAAGCUUUGUUGUGCAAUGAAGGUGACAGAAAAGGGAUUUUAACCAUUGCUUUUACGCUUCCGAGGACAGUGAUGCUUCUUGCCUUCAGCCAGGCUAUUCCAUCAAGAGAAAGUCAAAGACAAUGUGCCUUGUUUUAUUGAGUGCUUACUCCCUUCAUGAAUGUGAUUAGACCACUCCGUCUGGCACUGCAGCUUGUGCACUGCAUUGUCCCAGCUCUGCCAUUAUUCCUCCUUUCUUUGCCCAUCAAGAAACAAGAACAACUGGUCCAAAGGCACAACCAGCAUCCAUCUGCUAUUCCCAGUGCUCGUCGAACAUGAAAACAAAUCAUUUGCUUUGGUGUCCAAAGCACUGAAUGUCAGAACAUAACUCAGUCGAGUUGUAGGGGUUUUGCUUUUCAGCUGAACCAUGGGAAUGAGCAGCGUGCAGCCUCCUAACCUGAUGCAUGGGGACACAGAAGGAAACAAAAUGGAAAGGGAGAAGCCAUAGAAACUCAGGUCGGCAGAAGACUGAUGCCCUUCAACAUCAUGCACAGGAAGGCUGAGCACAGCUGGGACAGAAAGCACCUCUUGCUUCUCAGUGUUGAGGUACGCUGCAUAUUCUUCAGCCUGGCUCAAGAAGGAUUACCGCAACAAAAACAAGGUAUACAUCUGGGGAGAUAGUGGCUAGAUUUAUUCAGGCUUUUGGAAAGUUAAGGCCUCGUUCAAAUGCACACUUCUGUUUUGUUUUUUUCUGAGACAGUCAACAGUGUAAUCGCUCCAUGCGUUUUGAAUAACAUGAGAACCUCAGACUGACUCACUGUUUCCUAUUUCACUAGCUUGGGACAGGAUGCAAAGCUUAUAAACACAUUCCGUUUGAGUCUCUAUACAACGUGAAGGUCCUUGCUCAAGUUUACAAGCCCACAUUGUUUCAAAUCCCUAGAAUGACUCUUCAAGGUUCCGCCCAUACAUAAGCAGCUUUCUUCUCUCUGUCACUGUAUUUAUGCUUAAGAUUCUAUCUGACU
ensembl:lncRNA